CAGCACCGAGGGCCCAGGUCUUAAACUCAGGAUUCGUAUCCGAACAAAUAGUAAUUACAAAUGGGACGAGACAAGGGUGUCCGCUGUCCCCUCUGCUGUACGUGCUGGCACUAGAGCCACUGGCUGCCACGAUUAGGGACCACCCGGCGGUACACGGAGCCCGAGUGGGAGACAGAGAGUACACCCUCAGCCUCUUUGCGGACGACAUACUCCUAACCCUGACACAACCGCAAAUGUCCAUACCCAACCUCCUUCAGUGCAUACAAGACUAUAACAAAGUAUCGUAUUACAAACUUAACCUGACGAAGACACAAGCAAUGGGAAUCCACCUCCCGGGACAAACUCUUCAAACUCUGACGGAAUCUUUCAACUUUGACUGGAGAGACGAUUACAUAAAGUUUUUAGGGAUCAAUUUAGCCAGGACGACCCACCAAAUGUAUAAAUAUAACUACGAGAAACUAUCACACGAAAUAACGCAGACGCUCGACAAGUGGAACAGUGACUUCCACUCGUGG